GACCGCAUGGCCUAAUGGUUGUGGCGUCUGACUUCGAAUCAGAAGAUUGAGGGUUCGAGUCCCUCUGUGGUCU
rfam:Ciona savignyi cont_34501, whole genome shotgun sequence.